AAUACAUACGCCGAUACAGUGUUACUUAAUCGAUGCACCAGCCCAAUGACAACUCGCUUCAUACUCCGAAACCUUCGGUUUGUGUAAUUUGUCUGUCUGGUGUCAUCUUCCAUAACCACAGAGGAGAGUCUUUGCAAGUGCCAAAGGAACAGGCUUAAUCGUGACAAGCUCGACUUGCAGGAUAUACCAGCUCAUAUGAACAUCGCCCCCUCCUCAGACCUUUUGAUGUGGCUCUCCAGACAGCUCAUGCACCAUGAUGCACCGCUACUUAUCAGCAAAGUUUAUCAUCAUCAUCAGGUGUUUGUCUAAAUGUAUACUGAGAAGAAUGUGCUUGUCAUAUGCUCCAUUCCUAAAAAUUAAACCUAUGACCUUUAUAUUGGGAAAACACGUGUCUGUGGUGAGUCUAAUUAUAUUACUUCUAGGGGACUUUUUAUGUUACUGUCGUAAUACCUUGCAAAGUAUUUUUUCAUGCUCUUCAGCUACAAAUUUUUUCUAGCAGUUCUUGAUAGAUAGAUAGAUAGAUAGAUAGAUAUCACAUGAAAAUGAGUAAUUUGCUUUAAACAAUAAAUAUUGAAUAUUUCUUCCGUCAAUUAAGAGCUAAAGUAUUAAAUAUUUGUAAAAAAUAAUAAUAAUACUCACCACUAUUAUUAUACUCAGCACUAGACUCAGGAGCAAAGAGAAAGGCAAGGACUACCAGUUGAUACACACUCCAGCUGUUCAUGAUAAGCUCCUCUCUCAGUUACUUGUCAAUGAAGAGG